GGGGCUGAUAUAGCUUUAGACAAUUGGAACUUAACAAUAUAUUCCGCAGAUCGAUCUAUACGCGUAAAGUAUUAUUUAAUUGCAAAAUCUAAAAUUGCGUCUGCAUUUGAUAGUGUAAAGAGUAUUUUUGCUCCACGAUCACUUGCAGUUGUUGCUGCUUAAUUUAAGGCAACCAUUUCGUUUAUUUUCGCAGUAGUAGAAUAGGCGAGGUGUUAUAUUUUAUACUGCUUGCUGUCAGUUAGAAGUAGUGCGCUGAUGGGACUAUUUAUUCUACGUAACUAACUAUCAUUUUUUGGUUUAUUUAUAUAUUGAUUGUUGGUUAUAAAAAAUUAAAUAAACCUAUAUCUGUAGACGAGUAUAUUGUUACCAUUUGGACCGGGGGGCAGUACCCCGCAGCUCCACCA
rnacentral:tmRNA from 3 species